GUUGCCGCGGAUUUAAUUCCCAACAACUACUCAGUUUCCUCUCUUUUCCCUGUCGUCUUCUUGCUCGUACCCACUUGCACGCACACCUGCAUCUCGGCUCACUGGUGCGGCCACGGAUUAGCCGUCUACGGCGCCUGGUUUGGCUCCUAUACGCCUCGUCGAUCUCUCAAACCGGUCAACGGCGACGGAGGGGUAGCAGGGCCCAAGGAGAAGCUGCUCAGGGGAGGAGGCGAGCUCGUCGAUCUCCAUGGUGCCGGUGCCAUCGCCAUCCGUGCAGGCGAUGUUGGUGUGGAUCUUGUCUCCCGCAGCCAGUUUGGAUCCACCUUGAUUAUGAGGAUGCUGACGGAUUUCUUCCAUCGCAUCGUGUCUCCCCUGAGCUAGGAAGCUCGGCAGGUCGUCUUCAUCCUCGACAGUGGCAGCCUGAUUUCGGCAGCUCAUUCUUCCACCUGCAGGCCCCACUUCUCUCUUUUCCUGCCUCUCCAAUAUUUUUCUUGUUUCCUAUCCUUUUUCUGCAUGCGUAUGGGUAAACCAAUAUAAUGGGAUUAAGGUAAUUCUUGUUAGUGGAAGGUGUAUAUCUGUGUAUGGCCCCCUGCCCCCAUUCAUAUUCAACAAAUUUAGUAAGUAAUUAGUGUAUUCGUGAUUAGCCAUGUCUUAGUAUUUCCCAAAGAUAAAAAUAAUAGGAAAAUAGUUGCGAGUGCAUCCUACAUAUGAACUAAAAUGAUGCACGCACAUGCUGUCACUAUUGGCUUGUACUACAGAAUAAGCUUCAAAUAUCAGAUAACUCAAAGUGUCACAUUUGGUAUUAUUCAUCUAUUUCCAUCAAAUGUUGAUGCAUGUUUCCAAAUUCCAAUACUUCUAGGAGUAGCAGAUUAUAUCCAUUCUGCCAUAUCAUGUCCCUCGUGAACUCCUUGAGCUUUAUGUGGAACACUCAAUCAACAAUAUCAGCUCUUUCGGAUGUUGUUUGGCCUACUUCCAUAAGCAUAGGUUGAAUAUCCGGCCAAGCUGUGUUGCACGUGACUGUCACAAAUAGGUCUGUGUAUUCAGCCCACCGACGUCUUGCUAUAGCAUCUUGAUAAUCGCUGUUGUAUCAAAAAGAAAACUGAUUUUGAGAUUGUUCUUCAAUGGUCUGUAUUUUUCGUACUCCUAGACUUUGAAGGUCUUAAUUAUGUAGAUGAAGUCCUUUCAUGUUUGCUUUAAAUUUAUUGACCAGUUUUCUCCCAAUAGAAGCAUGGAUCGCAUUGCCCUACACAGAGAGAAUACGUUAGCAAACUUCGGAAAAGGAAAACUGAAGAGACAUUAUAUAUGUAAUACUUGAACUUUUUUUUAUCUAAUGCAUGGAUCGCAUUAGUCUAUAAGUUAACUACGUCCCAAAGUCUCAAGUGAUUAUGUGACAACAAAGAAAAUUGAAGAUUUUUUAAACUGGAAAAGAUAUAUGAAAUCAUAGUAGAUGAAUAAAUACAAUUUCAUUGAUAGUUGGUCUGAAUUUUUGUUUCAGAUGGAGCCGGUGGCAUUACGACCACUAUCGAAUAUGAGGUUGGUCAAAUAUGAAAACCAUCUAUAUAUGUUUAUCUAUAUUGCAGCAAUCAAUCCUAUUUGUUUCUGUUAUAGCUGUAGUAUGGCUCUAGUCUUCUAGAGUAUAUUAUCUUAGCGUAGAUACACUGGAACCAACACCCAUGGCAUCAGCUUUCUCUAGACGAGUAAAAGUAUUAACAUGCAACCAUUAAGAUAGGAAUCCACACAUAUAGAAUUGCAUUAUUUAAUGUCGAAUACUCUUCAUAGUUUCUUCUGUUUCUACAUAAUGAACCUUGUGAGCUAACAUGUCAAAUCUUUUUAGAUUAGAACUGCCUACAAAAUAAUUGAAGUAUUAUUGAUCCAUUAAAAGGUCUGAUUUAUAAUAUGAAAACCAUCUGAUGCACCAUAUAUGUUUCUCUAUAUCGCAGCAUGCAUCCCAUUUGUUUCUGUUAUAGCUGUAGUAUAAUUAUAGACUUUUAUAGUAUGUUAUCUUAAAGUGAAUACAUUGGAAGCAACAUACAUGGCAUCAAUCUUCUCUAGAUAAGUAAAAAGUUUGACCGUGACACCAUUAAGACAGGAACUCACACCUAUGGAAUUCUACAUAAGCAACCUUCCGAAAUGGUACUGACUUGAUGUGGUCUGAUUGCUCGACGGAGACGGCUUGUGCCCGCUAGAGGAAGACAAUUCCGAAGUUCUACUUACCAGUUUGCAUGACGGAAAGAGAGGUUUUUUUGUGCACUAUGGGAAGAGUUUUGGAUGCUGUCUGGAGAGAUAUUCUGUUUGGAGAGAUUGAAUCUCUGUACGUUAUUGAUGAUUGUUUGGAUUUGUUUGGGUAAUAUUGUAGGUGACAAUGACAAGUUGUACGUACCAUUAUAACUGCGUGCUUGUCGAUGAUGUCGGCGAUCUUCAAGAAGUACCCCUGGAGGUCCUGCAUGGUCUCCGCAGUGUUGGCUAGUGGUUUGUUGACGAAGGGUGACGUGUUGUUCACCUGGACAUUUACCUAUGCAAAUCACACAAUUCAUUUGACGGAGGCUAUUGCCUAUUGCCUAUGCCUAGCGUCAGGUGAAGGCGCAUGUGCACACACGCACAAACUACAUGCAAACUGAAUUGAUCUUUUUGCAUCGAUCAUUGGCUGAUUGUUUCAAGAGCAACAUGUCAAUUGGAAAUCGUAGUCUAGUAUCCUGGAUGAUUUUGGGUGUGCAAACUCUCAUGUAAUCUGUGUACUGAUUCUUUGUCCCAAUCAUACAUAAUCAAAUAGAAUAGUGCUUACCUAUGGAAAA